CGGGACACGUGGUAUCCUGUCUGAAUAUGGGGGGACCAUCCUCCAAGGCUAAAUACUCCUGACUGACCGAUAGUGAACCAGUACCGUGAGGGAAAGGCGAAAAGAACCCCGGCGAGGGGAGUGAAAAAGAACCUGAAACCGUGUACGUACAAGCAGUGGGAGCCUCUUUAUGGGGUGACUGCGUACCUUUUGUAUAAUGGGUCAGCGACUUAUAUUCUGUAGCAAGGUUAACCGAAUAGGGGAGCCGAAGGGAAACCGAGUCUUAACUGGGCGUUAAGUUGCAGGGUAUAGACCCGAAACCCGGUGAUCUAGCCAUGGGCAGGUUGAAGGUUGGGUAACACUAACUGGAGGACCGAACCGACUAAUGUUGAAAAAUUAGCGGAUGACUUGUGGCUGGGGGUGAAAGGCCAAUCAAACCGGGAGAUAGCUGGUUCUCCCCGAAAGCUAUUUAGGUAGCGCCUCGUGAAUUCAUCUCCGGGGGUAGAGCACUGUUUCGGCAAGGGGGUCAUCCCGACUUACCAACCCGAUGCAAACUGCGAAUACCGGAGAAUGUUAUCACGGGAGACACACGGCGGGUGCUAACGUCCGUCGUGAAGAGGGAAACAACCCAGACCGCCAGCUAAGGUCCCAAAGUCAUGGUUAAGUGGGAAACGAUGUGGGAAGGCCCAGACAGCCAGGAUGUUGGCUUAGAAGCAGCCAUCAUUUAAAGAAAGCGUAAUAGCUCACUGGUCGAGUCGGCCUGCGCGGAAGAUGUAACGGGGCUAAACCAUGCACCGAAGCUGCGGCAGCGACACUAUGUGUUGUUGGGUAGGGGAGCGUUCUGUAAGCCUGCGAAGGUGUACUGUGAGGUAUGCUGGAGGUAUCAGAAGUGCGAAUGCUGACAUAAGUAACGAUAAAGCGGGUGAAAAGCCCGCUCGCCGGAAGACCAAGGGUUCCUGUCCAACGUUAAUCGGGGCAGGGUGAGUCGACCCCUAAGGCGAGGCCGAAAGGCGUAGUCGAUGGGAAACAGGUUAAUAUUCCUGUACUUGGUGUUACUGCGAAGGGGGGACGGAGAAGGCUAUGUUGGCCGGGCGACGGUUGUCCCGGUUUAAGCGUGUAGGCUGGUUUUCCAGGCAAAUCCGGAAAAUCAAGGCUGAGGCGUGAUGACGAGGCACUACGGUGCUGAAGCAACAAAUGCCCUGCUUCCAGGAAAAGCCUCUAAGCAUCAGGUAACAUCAAAUCGUACCCCAAACCGACACAGGUGGUCAGGUAGAGAAUACCAAGGCGCUUGAGAGAACUCGGGUGAAGGAACUAGGCAAAAUGGUGCCGUAACUUCGGGAGAAGGCACGCUGAUAUGUAGGUGAAGCGACUUGCUC
rnacentral:rRNA from 1 species